CAGAUAACGUACAUUUUUUAGGUAACACUCGUGUAGCCUGCUUCACUGUAACUCGGUGCGUUUUUGCGUACCGUCACUGUCGGUGCCUUAAAGACACACCCACCUGUGCCCCCAAUAUAGUCGGUGGGCCAGAGGAGAGCCCCCCCAACCCCCCACCCUGCUCUGGUCCGCUCCUCCCGCAAAUGGAGCUUUAGCCUGCAAUGUGGCUGUUCGGACCCAGGCUGAAAAUCAGAAACCCAGCAGGAGAACCGCGGACCCUAUCGGACAGCUAUGGCCUCCACUCCGUCCGCCUCUGCCCUGUCCGCGGUUCUCCGGUGUCGGGGGAAUAUCUGGACCAGGAACCCGCCGACCAAGCGGCCUGCAGCCUCCGCCGGCAGCCUCGAACUGUCCGCCGGGACGCUGCGCGACUCCACGGCUGAGCGCACCGGGUCACCGCAGAGCGCAGCGUGGGAAGCUUUUCCCCGAUGUGUCGUGAUGGGAGGGAGGCUGACCGUUUCGUACAAAGUAGGUGGUAAAACACCGAGAGAGAAAGACGUCAGGGAGGUGAAUAAAUUCUGUUUUCCAAAACUUUCGCAACCCCCCGGGGACGCGCACUCAGCUCCGCCUGGUGUCCAAAAGGGCCAGCUGGCGCGCAGACUGACACCUAACCUGUCUGGAAGAGAUAAAUUCUCCAAAAUAAUCCACACGAUUAAAUACGAAUCAGGCGCUGCACAUACCUGUAGGAUAAUAUUUGUUCAGGACAUGGAUGGACUCCCAGCUGGCGUGGUGAAGCUGUCUGUGACUUCUCCGCAUUUGGUAACAGGACAUAUCCCGUCCUUCGUGUUGUCUAGCUGGCCAACACUGAAGAGAACCUGCUUAUUUUUGACUGCUCUGGUGUCAGAAAUGAUAUUCUACAAACUGGCGGUGCUGUGCGGUUCCAAUAACAGCCCUCGUGAGGAAAACACCAGAAAAGACCCCCUGCAGGCAAAUGUGCACAUCCACACUUCCCCCAAAGACAAUGGACAAAACAUUACAGAGGACAGACCUGACUGAGUCCAAGGCCUCGGCUCCAAAAAUACACACUGUGACCCAACAUCAACAUUGACUUUUACACAGCUUUCACAAUACACAGCACAUCUGGACUUCAACCUGCUGAAACAUGAAAACAACAUUUGGUUUUAUAGUUCACUUUUCCAUUCACUGUAAAGACACAAAUGAGAAAUAAACACAGAUAUUGCUUGUAAUCCUA